AGUGAACGCUGGCGGUAGGCCUAACACAUGCAAGUCGAACGGCAGCACAGUAAGAGCUUGCUCUUACGGGUGGCGAGUGGCGGACGGGUGAGGAAUACAUCGGAAUCUACUUUUUCGUGGGGGAUAACGUAGGGAAACUUACGCUAAUACCGCAUACGACCUACGGGUGAAAGCAGGGGAUCUUCGGACCUUGCGCGAUUGAAUGAGCCGAUGUCGGAUUAGCUAGUUGGCGGGGUAAAGGCCCACCAAGGCGACGAUCCGUAGCUGGUCUGAGAGGAUGAUCAGCCACACUGGAACUGAGACACGGUCCAGACUCCUACGGGAGGCAGCAGUGGGGAAUAUUGGACAAUGGGCGCAAGCCUGAUCCAGCCAUACCGCGUGGGUGAAGAAGGCCUUCGGGUUGUAAAGACCUUUUGUUGGGAAAGAAAAGCAGCAGGUUAAUACCCCGCUGUUCUGACGGUACCCUAAGAAUAAGCACCGGCUAACUUCGUG
rnacentral:rRNA from 1 species